GAUGAACGCUAGCUACAGGCUUAACACAUGCAAGUCGAGGGACCGGCGCACGGGUGAGUAACACGUAUCCAACCUGCCCUUUACUCGGGGAUAGCCUUUCGAAAGAAAGAUUAAUACCCGAUAUAAAGGAUGGGGAUGCGUUCCAUUAGGUUGUUGGUGAGGUAACGGCCCACCAAGCCUUCGAUGGAUAGGGGUACGGAGAGGAAGGUCCCCCACAUUUGAACGGGGGCCCGGUCCAAAAGCCUACGGGGGGCAGGAGGGAGGAAGAUUGGGCAAUGGGCGUUAGCCUGAAACAGCCAAGUAGCGUGAAGGGUGAAGGCUUAUGGGUCGUAAACUUCUUUUAUAUAAGAAAAUGUAUUAGAUGAGUAAGGAACGGCUAACUCCGUGCCAGCAGCCGCGGUAAUUC
rnacentral:rRNA from 1 species